rnacentral:rRNA from 1 species
UACGAAGGGUGCAAGCGUUACUCGGAAUUACUGGGCGUAAAGAGCGCGCAGGCGGCUGGUCAAGUCCGAUGUGAAAGCUCCCGGCUUAACUGGGAAACGGCAUCGGAAACUGAUCGGCUUGAAGGUGGGAGAGGGUAGUGGAAUUCCCGGUGUAGUGGUGAAAUGCGUAGAUAUCGGGAGGAACACCAGUGGCGAAGGCAGCCCCCUGGGCUAACACUGACGCUCAUGCACGAAAGCGUGGGGAGCAAACAGG